rnacentral:ncRNA from 1 species
UAUCUUCAGGGCAGGGUGUGAAUCCCUACCGGCGGUAUAGCCCGCGAGCCGUAAGGCAUGAUUCGGUGAAACUCCGAGGCCGACAGUAUAGUCUGGAUGAAAGAAGGUA